rnacentral:rRNA from 1 species
CUCGUAGGCGGUUCGUCGCGUCCGGUGUGAAAGUCCAUCGCUUAACGGUGGAUCUGCGCCGGGUACGGGCGGGCUGGGAGUGCGGUAGGGGAGACUGGAAUUCCCGGUGUAACGGUGGAAUGUGUAGAUAUCGGGAAGAACACCAAUGGCGAAGGCAGGUCUCUGGGCCGUUACUGACGCUGAGGAGCGAAAGCGUGGGGAGCGAACA